CCAGACUCCUACGGGAGGCAGCAGUGGGGAAUAUUGCACAAUGGGGGAAACCCUGAUGCAGCGACGCCGCGUGAGUGAAGAAGUAUUUCGGUAUGUAAAGCUCUGUCGGCAGGGAAGAAAAUGACGGUACCUGACCAAGAAGCCCCGGCUAACUACGUGCCAGCAGCCGCGGUAAUACGUAGGGGGCAAGCGUUAUCCGGAUUUACUGGGUGUAAAGGGAGCGUAGACGGCAGGGCAAGUCUGGAGUGAAAGGCGGGGGCUCAACCCCCGGACUGCUCUGGAAACUGCCAGGCUGGAGUGCAGGAGAGGUAAGUGGAAUUCCUAGUGUAGCGGUGAAAUGCGUAGAUAUUAGGAGGAACACCAGUGGCGAAGGCGGCUUACUGGACUGUAACUGGCGUUGAGGCUCGAAAGCGUGGGGAGCAAACAGGAUUAGAUACCCCUGUA
rnacentral:rRNA from 1 species